rnacentral:lncRNA from 1 species
ACACUUCAUUUGUAUUCUCUUUUAAACAUUCAAAUUCACAUAACCUAUUUUGUUUACUUUACAAUUUAUUCUCUUUUUCUACUACUUCAAUAUACCAUUUUAAUUUUCAUACAUAAUAUUAGCACAUUCACAAUUAAUUCAACUAAUUAAGCAUACUCUAUACUUGAUUAAAAUUAAAUAAAGUAAAUUUCUUGAAGUACUUACCUUGUCUCUUUAAUUUCCUCACUUUUUCUACCAUUUUC